rnacentral:rRNA from 1 species
UUAUCGGAGAGUUUGAUCCUGGCUCAGGACGAACGCUGGCGGCGUGCCUAAUACAUGCAAGUCGAGCGGACAGAUGGGAGCUUGCUCCCUGAUGUUAGCGGCGGACGGGUGAGUAACACGUGGGUAACCUGCCUGUAAGACUGGGAUAACUCCGGGAAACCGGGGCUAAUACCGGAUGCUUGUU